rnacentral:rRNA from 1 species
GUCCACGCCUAACGAUGUCAACUAGUUGUCGGGUCUUAACGGACUUGGUAACGUAGCUAACGCGUGAAGUUGACCGCCUGGGAGUACGGUCGCAAGAUUAAACUCAAAGGAAUUGACGGGACCCGCACAAGCGGUGGAUUAUGUGGAUUAAUUCGAUGCAACGCGAAACCUUACCUACCCUUGACAUGUACCGAAGCUUGCCGAGAGGUGAGCGUGCCCGAAAGGGAACGGUAACACAGGUGCUGCAUGGCUGUCGU